UAAUUGCACUGAAGUUCAAGUUGUCUUUUCACCCAUCAGGAGUGGGCGUUUAAAGGAAGGAGAGCGAGGAGGAGGAGGGGGAGGGGGGAGAGUCUCUCUCGCUCGCUCGCUCUCGCACACACACACACACACACACACACACAGAGGCACACGCAUGCACGCACGCACACACACACACGCACACGCACCCGCCCGCUCGGCUCCGCUCCCGAGCUGCCUCAGCAAGGAGGAGCCCGGACGGAAAACACCAGGGCAGCAAGGAUUUGGAAGUGGAGUUCCUGGAGAAUGACCCUGGCAAUGAGCGCAGGUUUCCGUGAAAGCUGAGUCUGUUCCUUAUUCCCUAGGAGACUGACGAGAGAGGGGACCCCGGAUGUCAGCCCAAGCUCCGUUUUUUAAUUUGUCUCAACUUUGAGGCAGAUUUUCUCUUUCAGCUCUGGGAACUGACAGAUUUCCUAUCUAAAGAAUAUGCUGGGGAGGGCAAGUCCUCCUGUUACCAAGGAAUGGAAAAUCCUUAUCAAGGAAAGGCACAUCAGCGUGUCACUGGCUGCCAACACGAAUAUUUUGGACUGAGAAAAACUGCAUUUCAAACUAAGAAGAAUCAAGCCAAACAAGUCCCAGCUACCUACUGUGUGGGAGGAGAGAAUCUAAAAUGUAAACAGGUUAAUACUACACCAUGCCAUCUGGUAGUGAUGAAGCUGAAAGAAAGAGAUGGUUGGAAUGAUGCUGAUGAAAGGUUGCUUCAAAUCAAGCAGAGGAGAGAAAGUUGUUCAACUUGAUCCCAAGACUUCUGAGGUCUCUGAGGGUCUUCCCUUGGCAUCAGAAAACUUUGGACCAGUUGUGUCAGUUCAUCAAGAGAAAGACUCUACCCUUUGAAUUCAUCAGUGCUCAUCAGUAAAUAAGGUGAGUUUGCUAGGUCAGGGACAGAAGGUUCAUGUGAGUUCAUAACUGUUCUCAACUACACCGGGGAAGAUCUUGCUCAAAUGGUGGCUCUAUGAAUAUUGGUUCAUGUGAGUUCAUAACUGUUCUCAAGUACACAGUGGAGAUCUUGCUCAAAUGGUGGCUCUAUGAAUAUGACAAAAUAAUAAGUGAAAUUCAAACUCUGAAACUAUGCAAUUAAUUUCUGUUCUGGAGAACUAAGGGACUCCAAAAAGAAUGAGUUCUCAAGUACUGAGGUGACCAACAUUUCUAAAAUACACCAGCAUGCAAGCUUUUGCUGAGUAAACUAUA
rnacentral:lncRNA from 1 species